UACGAAGGGGGCUAGCGUUGCUCGGAAUCACUGGGCGUAAAGCGCACGUAGGCGGACUCUUAAGUCGGUGGUGAAAUCCUGGAGCUCAACUCCAGAACUGCCUUCGAUACUGAGAGUCUUGAGUCCGGGAGAGGUGAGUGGAACUGCGAGUGUAGAGGUGAAAUUCGUAGAUAUUCGCAAGAACACCAGUGGCGAAGGCGGCUCACUGGCCCGGUACUGACGCUGAGGUGCGAAAGCGUGGGAGCGAACGGG
rnacentral:rRNA from 1 species